UUCAGUAAAUAAUAUUGUUCGAAAUGUUUAUUUGUACAAUUUUAAAUCUCGUUGUUGUCAGUUAGAUACAACAGAGAAAAGAAUUGAUACAUUCAAAAACUGGCCAUAUGACAAGCGUCAAAUUUUGACAUUUGCUGCAGCGGGGUUUAUAUACACUGGACAUUUAGAUACCGUCACAUGUUAUACGUGUAAUCAGAGUCUAUAUGGUAGUGCAUCAAGAGACAAUCGAGAUAGUCUAAUGAGUCAACAUGCUCAGUGGAGUAGUAAUUGUUUUUUCUAAAUAUUCAAACUGAUAGCUUAGUUUUAGAUAUGUUGAAGCAAAAGUGUAGAUCUAAGUCAGUAUAGGACGUCAAAGCUUUAUACAGUUCAUAUGCAUGUGAUGCAAAAAUGACUUUAAGCAGCCAGAGAACUAGAGCUAAUGACAAUGCAGUAAAGGGGCAUAACUUAAACAUCAACGGGAUAAUGCUAGCAGAGAUUAGUUUCACUAUUGUGUCGCCAACCGAACCUGAUGUCGGAGUUGCUUGUACCGAAUGCAAUUAUAUUAAAUAAGGAGUUAAAGACAUACACGAACUCGAAUCUUGCUAUUUGAUGUGGUCUGGAGGACAGUGUCAAUUUGUUAUCAGAACAAAGGGAAUUGAAGCCAUUCAAAAAUUCAAAGAAGAUAAUGACUUGAGAAUCCAAUACAAAUCUUCUGUCUCUUUCAAAACAAUAAUGAUCAAUCGGAAUCAGUAAGAAUAU
rnacentral:lncRNA from 1 species